rnacentral:rRNA from 1 species
UACGUAGGGCGCAAGCGUUGUCCGGAAUUAUUGGGCGUAAAGAGCUCGUAGGCGGCUUGUCACGUCGGGUGUGAAAGCCCGGGGCUUAACCCCGGGUCUGCAUUCGAUACGGGCAGGCUAGAGUGUGGUAGGGGAGAUCGGAAUUCCUGGUGUAGCGGUGAAAUGCGCAGAUAUCAGGAGGAACACCGGUGGCGAAGGCGGAUCUCUGGGCCAUUACUGACGCUGAGGAGCGAAAGCGUGGGGAGCGAACAGGAUUAGAUACCCCCGUAGUCC